rnacentral:rRNA from 1 species
UACGGAGGGUGCAAGCGUUAUCCGGAUUCACUGGGUUUAAAGGGUGCGUAGGCGGGCAGGUAAGUCAGUGGUGAAAUCUCCGGGCUUAACCCGGAAACUGCCGUUGAUACUAUCUGUCUUGAAUGCCGUGGAGGUAAGCGGAAUAUGUCAUGUAGCGGUGAAAUGCUUAGAUAUGACAUAGAACACCAAUUGCGAAGGCAGCUUGCUACACGGUUAUUGACGCUGAGGCGCGAAAGCUAGGGGAGCGAACGGG